GUAAUGAGUGGUAGGUGUUCUAAUUAUAAAUGAAUUCAUUAAUUCUAACAGUGUUGAGUUAAAUUUUGGUGGGAGACAGUGAUACACAAUCAUUAACUGCCUUGUUGGUGUAACAGGAGUCAUUCCAGCCACAGAUACUGCAUAACUUAGGCUGAAAUGUGUUAUAAAAACUAGUCCUUCAUUCUUUUUUUUCCCUUCAUUCUUGAAGAGGCUUCCAGGAAUUGAAAUGUGCAGCUGUUUACAUGCUCAUUAUCUGCCUUUGUUUGUGGGCUCAGAUUGGAUUUCUUACUGAGAGUCUGAGUUUCUACAGCUGUGCAGAUGAAUAAACCUUGAGUCUGGACCUGCUCAUCUGAUAGGGGUUUUAUCCACAACCAUUGGUAAAGCAAACUGAAUACCACCUUGCACUCUGUGCGUUUGAUAUUCCCAUCCUGCUAUGACAAGAGGCUGAUCUCCAUCACACACCUGUCUUCAUUACCCACAGAUGGAGCUGGCUUAGACAGUUGAGGAAAGAAAGAUCAGCUGUGUGUGGCCUGGAGACAGCUCCUCCCCCAGGGACAAAUCAGCCAAGAUACUUUAAUUGCAUUGGCAAAGCAAUAAGAAGCAGAAGAAAUUUCUUCUCACACAGAGAAGUUUCAUUCAACAGAUAUGCAACAUGUGUUUAUUAAGAGCCUUCUAUAGGCUUAGGUGAAGUCUUCCUCUGAGACUUCACCUUCAUCUGAGGGUGAAGUCAGUCUUUUUGGAGGCUCUUUUAGUGCAGGCAGGCAUGAAGACUGAGACAUCAGAUGAAAGGAAGAAGUAACCUACUUAAUCAUGGAGAAGGGAAUGACAACCAACCCCAGUAUUCUUCCCUGGAAAAUCCCAUGGUCAGAGGAGGCUGGCAGGCUACAGUCCAUAGGGUCACAGA